AUGGCCGUGGAUGCCCACCACGUCGACUCCCCUCGGCCUAUAAGAGCGUCCCCUCGAAACCCUAGCUAUCUCUCGACCGAUCCCCUCACUUUCCCCAUCGAAUCGCCUCCUCCUCGACUCGGAAUCGAGCCCGAAACCUCGCGUGGUGACUAUACACCUCGUCGCCGUUCCCGCGAACAACGUGCUCUCCGGCACCGGUGGAUCCGUCGAGGUGGACCACCACCCGCGACUUCGUCUUCCCCGAGAAACAACUAG
rnacentral:rRNA from 1 species